UGAUUGACGUUUAUCGAAUUUCAACGGUCACAGUAUGUCAUUCUGGGUUCAGUAAAUCUGCGAAUCAAAAUUUGAGUUCACCGCGAAAAUGUUUGAACCAGUAGAGGUUUGUUUCAGUUCCGAUGAUGAGUCAAAACAGUGGUCAGUUAAUGAAGAAACACAGGCUCUAAUAGUUGCUGGUCUUUGUUGCAUUGGAGGUUGGGUGAUACUUUCUUGGUUUUUACAGAAAUUCCUAACGAUAGCAAAAAAUGUCGGCAAAAUGGGAGACUGCGAUUCUCAAUAAUCAAUAAUCUCAGACGCUUUCCAUUGGAGCUUUUUAUAUACGUCCUAUGGCCUGUGAUAGCUCUCAAUAUGACAAUGUUCUUGUUUCCAUCUUUCAAAAAACUCAUCACGGAAGAUUAUUUUCAUAAUUAUGUUGAAAUUCUCAAGUCCUAUAUGGAGAAAUACGCCGAAGGUGAUUUCUGCUAUUGUUACUGACCAAAUCUUUUUGACAAAUAUUUUUUUUAGUAAAAUUAUGCAGUUCUGAA